UUCCCAGACUCCUACGGGAGGCAGCAGUGAGGAAUAUUGGUCAAUGGGCGGAAGCCUGAACCAGCCAAGUCGCGUGAGGGAUUAAGGCCCUGCGGGUCGUAAACCUCUUUUGCCGGGGAGCAGAGGUCCGGACGUGUCCGGGCCGGGAGAGUACCCGGAGAAAAAGCAUCGGCUAACUCCGUGCCAGCAGCCGCGGUAAUACGGAGGAUGCGAGCGUUAUCCGGAUUUAUUGGGUUUAAAGGGUGCGUAGGCGGGCAUUUAAGCCGGCGGUCAAAUGUCGGGGCUCAACCCCGGCCUGCCGUCGGAACUGGGUGCCUUGAGUGGGCGAGAAGUAUGCGGAAUGCGUGGUGUAGCGGUGAAAUGCAUAGAUAUCACGCAGAACUCCGAUUGCGGAGGCAGCAUACCGGCGCUCAACUGACGCUCAUGCACGAAAGCGUGGGUAUCGAACAGGAUUAGAUACCCUCGUAUAC
rnacentral:rRNA from 1 species